rnacentral:rRNA from 1 species
AGAGUUUUGAUCCUGGCUCAGAUUGAACGCUGGCGGCAGGCCUAACACAUGCAAGUCGAGCGGAUGAGAAGAGCUUGCUCUUCGAUUCAGCGGCGGACGGGUGAGUAAUGCCUAGGAAUCUGCCUGGUAGUGGGGGACAACGUUUCGAAAGGAACGCUAAUACCGCAUACGUCCUACGGGAGAAAGCAGGGGACCUUCGGGCCUUGCGCUAUCAGAUGAGCCUAGGUCGGAUUAGCUAGUUGGUGAGGUAAUGGCUCACCAAGGCGACGAUCCGUAACUGGUCUGAGAGGAUGAUCAGUCACACUGGAACUGAGACACGGUCCAGACUCCUACGGGAGGCAGCAGUGGGGAAUAUUGGACAAUGGGCGAAAGCCUGAUCCAGCCAUGCCGCGUGUGUGAAGAAGGUCUUCGGAUUGUAAAGCACUUUAAGUUGGGAGGAAGGGCAUUAACCUAAUACGUUAGUGUUUGACGUACGACAGAUAGCACCGGCUAACUCUGUGCCUGUGCCAGCAGCCGCGGUAAUACAGAGGGUGCAAGCGUUAAUCGGAAUUACUGGGCGUAAAGCGCGCGUAGGUGGUUUGUUAAGUUGGAUGUGAAAGCCCCGGGCUCAACCUGGGAACUGCAUCCAAAACUGGCAAGCUAGAGUACGGUAGAGGGUGGUGGAAUUUCCUGUGUAGCGGUGAAAUGCGUAGAUAUAGGAAG